AAGACUCUUUGCUUUUGCAUCGGAAAAGGCUCCCUGGUGGUUGAUUAUUGGGGACCCUGAACUCUGGGCAUAACAAAGUACUGAGAAUUUGUCGUUCUGCUGU